ensembl:lncRNA
GAGCAAUGCUCAGCAAAUUCGCUAGAUUUGCCUUCACAUGGCUUGGAAGAACGAGGUCGAUGCUCCGCUCCCAGAUGGUUUUCUUGCUGAUCACUGGCUUUCCUUCAACUGGAAGAGACUAGGGCAACAGAGAGUCAUUGGAAGGCAAGAGCACUUCUUUAAUAACUGCCAUCAUCACCUUGAUCAUCUCGCAAGAACAACAUUGGAUAAGUCCUUUAUAAUUUGCAAAGUGCUUUCUAUAAUACGAACAGAAAUACUGCUCUAGAGUGAUGUGGACCUGAAGCUCCAUGAGGGCCCCAUAUCCUUGGGCUUUUCUUAUUGUUCCUAGUACCUAGCAGAGAAGCUGGUACAACAUAGGAGCUCAGUGGAGAGUCUGAGUCUCCAGAGGGGAAAUAACUUGGCCAGUGUCUCAGAGCCUGUAAGCAGCAGCACCAGGUCAGAAUCCUGCUCUUUGGUCUCCAAAGCCUCUUCCUUUAUUUUACCAUCCCUGUCACGUGCACACCUUUCUAUAUUCCUUCAUUUUCUUUAACUUGAUUUAAGUUGAAAUUCAACCCCUCAACUCAUUUGACAGACCAGA